rnacentral:rRNA from 1 species
GACAGAGGCCUCAAGCGUUAGGCGGAAUCACUGGGCUUAAAGCGUGUGUAGGCGGAUCGUUAAGUGUCUUGUGAAAUCCCACGGCUCACCCGUGGAACGGCUGGGCAUACUGGCGAUCUUGGGCCAACUAGGGGCAACUGGAACAAGCGGUGGAGCGGUGAAAUGCGUAGAUAUCGGCUUGGAACGCCGAUGGUGAAGACAGGCAACUGGACGUGCGCCGACGCUGAGACGCGAAGCCCAGGGGAGCGA